rnacentral:rRNA from 1 species
UACGGAGGAUCCAAGCGUUAUCCGGAUUUAUUGGGUUUAAAGGGUGCGUAGGCGGCUUAUUAAGUCAGGGGUGAAAGACGGUGGCUCAACCAUCGCAGUGCCUUUGAUACUGAUGAGCCUGAUUACACUAGAGGUAGGCGGAAUGAGACAAGUAGCGGUGAAAUGCAUAGAUAUGUCUCAGAACACCGAUUGCGAAGGCAGCUUACUCUGGUGUCAAUGACGCUGAGGCACGAAAGCGUGGGGAUCAAACAGG